CAGUCGCCACGGUAAAACGAAGGGUGCAAGCGUUAAUCGGAAUUACUGGGCGUAAAGCGUGCGUAGGCGGUGAGUUAAGUCUGCUGUGAAAUCCCCGGGCUCAACCUGGGAAUGGCAGUGGAUACUGGCUCGCUAGAGUGUGUCAGAGGAUGGUGGAAUUCCCGGUGUAGCGGUGAAAUGCGUAGAGAUCGGGAGGAACAUCAGUGGCGAAGGCGGCCAUCUGGGACAACACUGACGCUGAGGCACGAAAGCGUGGGGAGCAAACAGGAUUAGAUACCCCAGUAGUCCCUGUCUCUUAUAC
rnacentral:rRNA from 1 species